ensembl:snoRNA SNORA69 small nucleolar RNA, H/ACA box 69
AAAGCAGGACGCAAUUACAGUGCUUCAUUCUGUGGGAGUACUGCCAUUACCCUGCUGAGAGCAACAUCCUGCUUCAGAGUCACGACUUAUCAUUCUUCUGAUUGAUAGGACUGCUCUCUAGCGGAGACAGCU